GGCUCUUAUUCAGACGACUCGGGCGUUCAUUGAAAUCUGUGCAUAUUGCUUUGAGGAGCUCAAGAUGUCCUUUGUGUUUCUUGGGAAGUUCCAAACAGACCUUCUAGAAGACCGUUUUGGUUGUUACCGACGGCUGGCUGGCUCGCAGUAUCAUUUGUCCGUAAGACAGAUUUAUGAGUGCGAGAACAAGUUGCGACUGCAAAGCACACUGCCACAAAUCAGCACGGCGUCCGCAAUCGACAACGACCAAAAUCGAAAUUGGGAAGAGCUCCAAACGCAGGCAGCAGUGCCAAGUGGAAAAUUCAACGUUGUUGUGACCCAGGAGGUGCUAUCAAAACUGAAGGAUGCCAUUCCGUGGUUACCUGUGUUGCCGGUUACUCGGUGCACGUCGCUGUGAAGAGGUUAAAAUGUGACAAAUGCAGAGAGCUCCUCACAGUUGACAAGACUGUCGCUGUUUCUCCCGAAAAUCACAUGUACAGUCUUCUCAAAGAAAUUGACAGGGGAGGGUUGGUUUACCCAGCAAUGCCAGCUGUGAAUGCGUGGCCACGGAAGUAACACUGCAACUGCUCGGCGACGAGGAGCCUUCAGAUUUCGACGUCUGUGAAGAGGGACACGCAAGUGAAGUUGUGCUCAAAUAUAUAUUGUGGUGCAGCACGAACAUUCUGCUGAAGAACUUUUGCCGGCGAUUAAGCAACAAAGUGUUGGACCCGGACAACAAGACUAGAAGCGAAAGCUGCAAACUCUAACAAAUAAAUGAAUGAAACGCCGAUGGGUGUAAAUAUGA